GCGGCACAGUCGCAGGCUCGUGUAUCUGGGCUCCGUCGCCAACUUGGGGAGUGUCAGAAGCUUGACUCCACCGCCACUGAGUUCUACAACAAAGUCAAGAGUCUCGCCGACACGCUGGCCUCCAUUGGACAGCCCCUCACCAACUCCGAGUUCAACUCGUUUAUUGUCAAUGGUCUUGAUGAGGAGUAUGACGCCCUAGUCGAGAUCAUCAAUGAGAGGGGCAACUCCACGCCCAUGCCAGCACACGAGGUCUUUUCACGCCUCCUGCUUACUGAGCAACGAGUCGAGACGCGCCGAUCCAGGGGCAACGGCGCCCUCUCGGCAAACGCCGCCACCAAGGGUGGUCGCUCCUCUACUUCAUCCAGGGCUCCUUCGGGGCAGUCACCACCACCCGCCUCGGCCCCUCCUCCU
rnacentral:rRNA from 1 species